AUACCGAACACAGUAGUUAAGCUCAGUAGCGCCAAAAGUAGUUGGAGGAUCGCCUCCUGCGAGGAUAGGACGUCGCGAUGC
rnacentral:rRNA from 1 species